rnacentral:lncRNA from 1 species
UCUCUCUCUCUCUUUCCGACGUCAGAUGAUAAUGCAGUCCCGCAGAUAAUCCGUUCGUUUCAACGUGAAAACGAUAUUUUUCUCCAUUUCCUCGUCAAGAUUGAAAAUAUUAUUUAGAAUUCGAAGAAAUUCGAAUAUAUUACAUCUCUCUCUCUAUAUUCGACUGACAAGUCUGAAGUUGGUUCAACCAAAUCAAGUGCGAUUUGUCGUCACACAUCUCGAGACAAGACAGGGGGGGCAUUCUUCUAUUGUUGGCGCGAGCGUUCCCACCUAGGAAAAAAUCUUAGCUCGAUUCACAUGCGCCCCUGCAAAAAGCGGGCCUCACGUGGAGCCAUCUCAUGAAGUCGUCCUUUUUUCUUAAAUUUGUUUUAGUAAUUGUUUUUUAAGAUUAAAAUGGUAUUUAUAUCUCGAAGAAAACUUAAAGUGGGAGAGGAGAGAGAGAGAGAGAGAGAGAGAGAGAGGAUCUUCUUGGUUUGAUGCGGGAUCAUAGCGUAGAAAGUUGCAGUUACUAUAUAAGAUUUAGAGCUGUAGAAUGAGAUGGCACUAGUAACGUCCGACGAGAAUUCAAGUCACAUAGCAAAAAUCUUCGUACGUUUGAUUGAUGCUAGACAUUGACAGAGAAAAGGAAGUGCUUUUAAUUGCGACUGUCAGAUCCGUGAGGAAGUGUUUUUUGCUCGAAUUUAACUGUUAAUUCAAAAAGAGUAAAAACAUUUUCCGAAUCAUUUAUAUUUCAACAUUUUCACAGUCUGAUUUGAUUAAUUAAACACAUGCUACUAGAUGGUUCGCGUCCGUGCCGUCGUCGACCCAGCCGAACCGCCUCUACGUGCACUCCGGCACGUCGGGAGGCGCCACCAGCAACAUCCCUGCCCUCCUCGCCCUGGGCUACCCGCAGCGCACCAUCUUCGAGAACCUCGACGACGCCGGGCUCUCCUUCAGGAUUUACUACCAGAACAUCCCCGCCACGCUCUUCUACCGCAACCUCCGGAAGCUCAAGUACGUCCCCAAGUUCCGCUCGUACAGCGCCUCAUUCGCGGCGGACGCGAGGCAGGGGAACCUCCCGAACUACGCCGUCAUCGAGCAGCGCUACAUGGACACCAAGGAGGAGCCCGCCACGGAUGACCACCCGUCGCACGACGUGUACCAGGGGCAGAUGUUCGUGAAGGAGGUGUACGAGACGCUCAGGGCGAGCCCGCAGUGGAACCAGACGCUGCUGCUGAUCACGUACGACGAGCACGGCGGGUUCUUCGAUCAUGUUCCCACGCCGGUCCGUGGGGUCCCCAGCCCGGACGGCAUCGUGGGGCCCGAGCCCUUCAACUUCACGUUCAACCGGCUGGGUGUGAGGGUCCCCACCAUUGCGGCUUCGCCUUGGAUCGAAAAGGGCACCGGUACGUUUUCUUAUCACUCUCCCAUUUACUUAGAAGCGUGAUUGAAUAUGAAUGAGCCUAUCAGAAUGUGCGUGGAUAGUAAUUUCCGAGCAAUCAGCUCUGUAAGUAUCCAGUCGCAGAUCACGGUGAAAUAUAUGUAGUGGUUGGUGGAGUUCAAUGUGAUCAGCGCGCCGGAUGGUAAUUUCUCCGUGGACCACCUGUUCCAGUUUCCUAAUAAUGAGCCGGUGAAGGUGCUAGGCCACAUAUUUUCUCGUGAUCAAUGGCUUCUUUAGUUUUUCCUUUUUUCCUCUGCUUUCUUUCACCUAUUCCUGUCAUCAUAUUUAGCCUUUAAACCAGGAGGACAGAUGUGGGAAAGAGAUUGACCUCAUUAAAUGGGUCACUACAAUACACAAAUAACGAAAGAAUGGCGUGCAAGUAACUCAAGCUUUUUCCUUCCGGUUUUGCUUUGUUAAAAACAGUGAGCUGAUGGUCCUUUGGGCCCUGGUCGGUGAACCGUCCUUCUCUUUUCCAGCUCUUUCUUUCUUUGUCCAUUUGCUCUACUUGCAAAAGUAAUGCUUGUUAUUGACGUUUAGUCACUUUAUCUCUGCCGACAAAACACUGGAAUGUGAACGGAACUUGGGUUUACUUUCAUGAAAGAGAUUUUCCUUCCUGUAGUGAACUUGAUGAAAAAGUGGGUGGUCCUUUAACUUUAAAAUCACUAGUGUCAUUCACUUUGGUCAUUUGGAUGAUUCUGCCAUCUAUACCACACAUUUUGAUAAUGAUAGAAGAACUUUGUUGACUGAAUAACCAAAGUUUGCAGUUCUGUAUACACUGUUGUUCAUGCUCUCAUGAAAAGAAAAAAUUGCAGUUGUCCAUGGGCCCAACGGCUCGCCCUUUCCGACGUCUGAGUACGAGCACUCCUCAAUCCCUGCAACAGUCAAGAAGCUUUUUAACCUCAGUGCGCCUUUCCUCACUAAGCGAGACGCAUGGGCUGGCACGUUCGAGGGCAUCGUGCAAACACGCACUGAACCGAGAACUGAUUGUCCAGGUUUGGUGACAAAUGCACUGAUUAUUUCCAGAGUCAGAACAUAGAUCAAUUCAUGUAUAUGUUAAUGCACAAUAGUUGUCAUUUGUCGAUGCAUAAGCACGGAAUUUCAGAAACAACAUCAUAACUAGUAUUUGAUGAAUUGGCCGAGUGCCUUAAAGUGAACACGCGUAAUUUGUAUUUGAACAUGCCGACAGAGAAACUCCCGACUCCAGUCAAGAUCAGGAAAGGCGAGGCUAAUGAAGAUGCCAAGCCAAGCGAAUUCCAGCAGGAGCUCUUGCAGCUCGCAGCGGUGCUGAAGGGUGAUCACAUUUUCACAAGUUACCCGGAGAGGUUCGGGAAGGAGAUGACCGUCAAAGAAGGGAAGGAGUACAUGGAGGACGCAGUCAAGAGUUUCUUUGAGGCGAGUCUUUAUGCCAAGAAAAUGGGUGUUGAUCGAGAGCAGAUUGUGAAGAUGAGGCCUUCACUCACCACAAGACCAUCAAAACCCUGAAACACACACACCACUGCAGAUGCUAUACAAAAGCCUAGCAGAAUUGUUUAAGCGUUGUAAAAAACCAAAAAAAUAAAUAAAAUCCAAAGUUCUUUUUAGGUCAGAAAAAUCUAAGGUUCACCCGCAACAAAAAAGUGAGCAACAGAGGAAGGUGAUUAUUGUUUGCAAGUUUUCUUGUUUCAUCACAGUUGCACGGGUCAUAGCAAAUAUUUGACAUGCUAUUUGUCAUUAUCUUUUGUUCUUAGGCUUCGCGCAGGAACUUACUAAUGUUCAUCAGUUCAUCCCCGUUCAGCCAAUCCAUACUUCGUUUCUGUCCAUCGAGAACAUUCGGUCGACACAACCCUCCGAGCCUCUCAAAACUUUUGCCGCGACCGGUGCUACAAUUGGUUUUAUACAGAAUAAGGAAAAUAACCGGUAUUGCAUAACUGUCCCAGCAUUUUCAAUAAAUCUAUUGUGUGGCUUGGGCUUGUUUAGCUGGCCGAGCCGCCUAUACUUUUCUGUGACAUUAGAUCACCGUUGGGUCGUUCCUAAAGAGAACCGCCAAAUAACAGCAAAAAGAGGAUAUGCGCAGUUCUGUAAUGAUUUUCACAUGGCAGGUUAGCCUCUACUUAGCGUUUCCCAUCGAGGAAUAUUAGCGGUGCCCUCAUUCACCAUCUUCACCAGUCGGACCUGCAAGAAAAUUAGACGAGGAAAAAAUGUGAGAGAGUAUCGCCUUCCCAUCUGGUUGUUGUAAAAGUGGGACGUAGCCAGCACAAGAUCAACGACCCCGCUGUGCAAAGAGAGACAAAAUUCUCCCAAGCUUUUUGUUACUCGCAUCUCUAGCAUCCUUCCAAAGGCCUUACCGGUUUCGGGGUCGUUUGUCAUUCUUAAAGAGACAUUCAUCCGUGUAGGUGCAAUUUCCACAGAAAUAGACUGGAUCAAAAUUUAAGUGAACAUGAAAUCGGAGGAAUAUUAGUGUCAUGAUUUCUGGGCAAUAUCACAGAAUGUAUCAAUACAGAUUUUGGUUCACAUAGACAAAGAAAAAAAGAAUACAUCCUUAGUAUCACUUAAAACUGCCAUGUUUGAACUUUGACACGUAAAUUCGAAGGUAUUCCUUAGGGAGAGGGAAGAAAGAACAAUCUCCCCAAUUGGUGGUUGGGGCGUCCUGGUAGGGAGGGAGCUGGUGGCGGAUUGUGAACCUAUUUCGUCGAUCCAAGAUCCUACAACAAAAUAUCUUUCACCAAGUAUUAUAUUUUGAUUUUUAUUAAAGGAAAUUCAAGUUCUGUGUUAGUUUUGAAUAGAGAGGGUCAAACGUGAAUGAGAUUAUAUCUAUUAUAUAAUCUUAAAUUUAGAAGUCACUUAACAUGCUUAACAUAAGCUCAUAACCAAUGAUAAUCAAUGUUGAAAUCUAAUUAAUGAUUCAAUCCGGACUCACUAUAAGAUAAUAAUGAAAGCCCAUUAAAAUUAAAAUGGUUUAUGUUAUAUCGAAGAUGAUUCAACAACAAAUGGGUAUUAACUAAAGUGCCCAGAAAGCAUUGCUUUCAAAUAAAUUCGAGGACACAAAGGUCGGAGCUCAAUCAACAAUGCUGGACAGCUAGAAUGACACCUAGUAGACACUAUUCGUAGGUGGAUACGAGAAUGCAAUGUCAAAAUUUAAUUGAUUAUGCUAGACAAAUGAGAAUAACACCUAGUUCUAGAUGGAUAUAAGGACAUAAUACCAGAAUCUAAUCAACGAUGCUAGAUAGUGAUGACAAUACCUAGUGACUACUGCUCCUAGAUGGAUGUAAAGAUAUAAUGCUUAAAUCUAAACGACAAUAGUGAUGACAAUACUUAGUGAACAAUGCUCUAGGAUUGAUAUAAGGACACAACAUUGGAAUCUACUCAAUGACACUGGAUAGUGAGUUAGCAUUGGAAUCUAAUCAUUGGUACCAAGAAUUAAGCAACUAAUUCAGUAGCACGGGCUGCGAUAAGGGCUCGCACUACUUGGGAUAUAGGCACUAGUCGGAAUUGAAUCUAUGACGAGAAUCUUAAGUUACAAUUAAGCUAGACUAAGCAAAGAUAAAAUGUCAAAUAAAGCAAUUUUGUGUGUUGUUUGGGGGGUCUCUCUAUUGGAUCACCUGCGAUAUUUAUAAGUUAAUUGGGGGUAACCGUCGAUGGUCAAUUGCUUCCUCCUCAAUAGUCACUCCACAUUCUAUGCUGAACUGCCUUAUCAUAUCUUGUUACUUUAUGACCUGUUUGACAAUGCUCUUAUGACUUGUCCAAUAAGUAUUAACUGUUCCUCUUGAGUUUGGCGCCCUUUCAAGUAUUAUCUCCAGCUCAAAUUUGCUGUCAAUGUUAUGUCUUCAACAGCGUCUCUUGGUUUGAACACGUGACGAUCAACUAUUUCAUCAUAGAAUUAUGUAUCUCUACUUGUAGGUCCAACAAAACCUAACCUAAGGAUUCUUGAAAACCUUGGCUAACUUUCGUCUUCAUGAUCACUAUGGGCUGGGCUGAUGCAAAUCAUAACCACACGCGGCAGCAAGGGUGAUUUUAAAGGUUUCUGUCCCUCGUGACCAACAUGUGAUUGUAGGGAUUUUUUUGGGUGUCAAUGGAAUUGAAAGACGUGAUUGUGUCCGGAGGUGCCGGUGGCUAGUCGAUGAUGGGUGUAGUGUGGAAGAAGGUUGGACUAGAAGAGCUAGAAGUCGUCUUAAGUCAUCCAUUAGGAUUUUAGUUUGAUCUGUCUUCCCCUGUUGAGGAUGUAGCCUUUGAUUUAACAGAAGCUCCAAAACAGAAAUGCUUUUUGUAGUUUACGUUGUUUCGUUCUUUGAGUCCUGGGUUUGUUUCGCCGAAGCAUAAGGUGAAAAUGAAGUCUGGGAUCGAUUUUUCAGUCCGCACCUUAAGAGAACAUCUGACAGAAAUCGGAGGGGCGUCCGUGUUUGUGCAUUUUCUUUGAUAGCUGCUGGGUACACUUUCACUGCGAUGGAGUACAGCAUACAUUCUCGUAAAAUCAUAAAUCUUGUGUAAUAAAUGGAAUCUAAUCUUAAAUCUUUCUAUUAGGUCCCGAAGUUUUAUACAUUUUUUCAAAUUGCAUGGUCAAGUCCUUUCCAUGAAGAGUACCUGAAACUGUUUGCAUGUCACUCAAAAAGUACUUACAUGGCAUUUUUCAGUUGCACUUCUAAACAUAGUUUUAAAUUUAAUAGCGUUUUUUUUAAAAUAAAAAUUGAUUUAAUUGAACCAACUAAAAGGUUUGUCAUGUGAUACUAUUUUUUUAUAUACAGGUUUAGGAUUUUAUUGAGAUGAUUGAAUGUUUAGAACAAAGAGUCGAGUAUAAUGAAUAAAAGAUAAAAUACUUUUCCAAAACCCAAAAAAAAGAAACCAUUGUUUUGGAUAGCUCAACACAUACACCUAGUCAAAUCUUGGCAAAGUCUUUUAUUUGUGAGUAUUAACCACUGGGGGUUCGCCCUAGUGGCCAAUCUUUCAACUUGGAAGGGGGAGGUGAAAGGUUCAAAUCCUCACAUUCUUAGGGGGGAUUGGGAUGGGGACGAUUUCAUUUCAAAAAUGGGUUUCGACUCCCACGCCCUGCACGGAGGUAGGGCAAAAGUCUGAGAGUGAGUGUUAGAGUAGGAUUAGAGUAGGACCGACCAAAAAAACAAAUCGAAAUAUUUAUAAGUUAUAUAAUAAUAAAUAACAAAAUGUUAAGAAAGUUAGUAGUUCCAUAGGAUAGAAGGGAUUCUUCUUCUGUCCAGUUUAUUUUUAUUUUUUAAUUUUACCAACAAUUCUUUGACACUUUUUCAAACUCACUGAAAUUUAUCGUUAUAAAAAAAAUAAAAAAUUCAGCGCGGGCCAGUAGAAUUAUGCUCGAAAAUGAUUUUUACCCUUGAGUUUAACUUUUCGAAUCUUACAAAAUAAUAAUAAUAAUAAUAAUAAUAAUUGGGUGGUCCUAAUCCUUAUAUAACUCGUCUCAAUCACUUUGCCUUUGGGAAGGAUAUGACUUUCCCUUUCAUCGUCGUCUACAUGUACGCUAGUGAGAAUGGACAAUUCUUUACUGUCACGCUUCACUAAUUUCGAUACCGUAAGGAUCGUCAAAGUAUAUGGAACGAAUAUUCUUAUGUGGAUUGAGUUCUAAAAUAUCAGAGAUAGUAGAUCACAAGUAAAUAAGUUUCGUUGUUACAUCGGCACUUUUGGAAAUAUAUGUGAGAUAGAGCAUAAAAUAUACUUUGGUACAAUUUCCCUUACUCAAUUUGACAUCUCGCUUUCCCUGUGUUGCCAACAAAUACUUUGAUCUUUCGCCAGUUAAUUUAGAAAUGGUUAUGGCAACUUUUCUAAUUAGGACACUCCCAAAGCCGAGACUAGUACAUGCACUAUAUCAAAAUAAAUCAUUGUUCUCAACUCAGGACCGUAUUACUUGUUGUAAUAUAAUACUUGGAGACAAUGGGAUCUUGUAAAUUAAAUCAAUGUGAAAUCACUAGAGAAAUAAACAAGAAAUAAUAGGACAUUAAAAAUUUACAUAAUUCGAUCCGAGUAUCGCUACCUACAUUUACGGGAAGAAUUAGCAACAAAUAAUUCACUAUAAUAAAAGAAUUAGAGUUAUAAUCACUUACACAUUUGAGUAUUUUCUAUACUUAAAUUUAAGUUCAAAUCCAAAAAUAUUUACAAAUAAAGAUGUAAACUCAAAGCAUAAAAUCAACACAUGCUCAAGCUCAAGCGAUAUCUUCUAUGCUCGUAUGGCGACUUGCUUUUUAGUGUGCGGCUCUCGCUUUGUGCGGCUCCAAGGACAUCACCGUGUUUGCAGCUCUUCUUCGGCUUAAAGGAAUCGCAAAUGAUCUUUUUAACCCUUUUAUACGGCUUUCGAAGGAUACAGAGAGACGUAACUUCUUUCUUGGUAAAAUCUUUUCUGCCCCUUAUUUUGUCCUUUAGUGCAAAACAAAUCCAAGCCAAUUCAUUCAUUGCAAUAUUUCAUCCUGGAUAGUUACCAAGAUCCGACGCCCAAAAACAAGAAAACUAAGUCUGAUUUGGACAGGAAAUAACAAAUUUUAAAUUAAUCAAAAUCCUUCUACGGAUCAAGUUCCGUAAAAAUUCAAACCGGAGACAUACUUUAACAAUUUUUCAUAUUCACUCAACGUUUGAAAUCAAGUUAUAAUAUUCAUUAUCAAUAUUGCUCUCUCAAUGUCUCAAUAGACACUCACUCUCCACAGACGACAAUAAAGCUUGAGCUUCAUCAGAGGAACAUGCUUAAUUAUCAUGUCUACCGGGUUAUUUGCCGUAACAAUCCUUUUCACAGUAACAUUAUCCUUAGGUAAAACAUCUCAAAUGAAGUGGUACUAAUGUUGAUAUACUUCGUUCGUUUAUGAUAAACUAAAUUAUAUGCCAAAUAUAUCGCACAUUGGUUAUCGCAGUGUAUAUUAACACUUCUUUGAUCUAACUCAAAGUCUGAAAGUAAACUUCAUAAUCAUAUCGCCCCAUUCACUACAAAGGUUAAUACCAUGCACUUUGUCUCAGUUAAGGAUAAGACAAUGUGAUUCUAUAAGGACGCUUGCCAACUAACUUAGCGUAAACACUUACCUUGCUAAGGAUCUACAAUCAUCUAAGUUAUCGUUGUGAUCCAAAUUUACAAAACUAGUGGUCUUAUACCCACAUCCGUUGCCCCUCUCAAAAAUUUGAGAAUUCACUUUACAGCUUUCCAAUGAACUUUAUCAAGAUACUUCAUAUACUAACUAACUGCGCUUAUUGCUUGUGAAAUAUCAUGCCUAGUGCAUAUCAUAGCAUACCUAAUACUAUUCACGGCACUAGAAUAAGGAACAUGGAAUAUAUGCUCCUCCUCUUUUUCAGUCUGUAGUGAUAAUUUAUCUGAGUUUAAAUUACUUCGCUAAGGUGUAAUUAUAGAUUUCAUUGAUUACAUAUUAAAACGUGUUAUAAUCUUCUCAAUAUAUCUCUUUUGAGACAGACAUAAAACUCUGGUAGCCCAAUCAUGCAAAAUCUCCAUAUUUAAUAUUUUCUUUACAAUACUUAAAUCUUUUAUCUCGAACUCAUUAUUUAACUACCUCUUCAACACAUCGAUAUCAUACAUAUUCUUAAUUGCAACAUAUAAGAGUAGAUAAAUCAAAGAACCAUUCUCCAAUUUCCUAAAAUAAAUAUAGCUAUCCAUUUGACUUUUCAAGUAGUCUUGACUGCUUAUACGGACUAGGAGAUUGUUUUAGCCAACAUAAAUAUUUCUGUAAUAAGUAAACAUGAUCUUCCUUAUUCGGAAUAACAAAUUUCUCUAGUUGUGUCAUGUAAAUUUGUUCCUCCAACUCACCGUGAUGAAACGCAGCUUUUACAUCUAGUUAUUCUAAUUUGAGAUUAUGUUAAGAAACUAGAUAAGUAAAACACAAAAAAAGUAUGUCUUACCAUAAAAUAGAACACCUUAUUGUAGUUAGUGCCCUCACACUGUGUAUAUUCCUUUGCUACAAGUCUUGCCUUAUACCUCACUGUCUCAACAUUGAGAAUGCACUCAUUAUGUUUAAAGACUCAUUUACUUUUGACAAUCUUCUAGCUCUUAGAUAUUUUGAUUAGCUCCCAUAUCUAAUUUCGAUGGAAUGAUUCAAUCUCUUCACUCAUAACCCCUAGUCAUUGUGACGACUCCCUACUAGCCAUCGCCUCAACAUAAGAUAAAGGCUAAUCUAUCUCCAUCUCGUCACCUACAAUCAAUGCAUAAAAUAAUCUUUGUAUAACCAUAACGUACCAAUAAUUUAACUUGUCUUCUCUAUCUAUUUACAACUAUUGUGUGUUGCGGUUUUACUAGUUAUUCACUAUCAUCGACUUCAAGAAUUACAACCUCAUCUGCAGUCUCAACUUCUAUUACUUUCAUGAUCUUCGGAGUCUCCACCUGAAACUCCACCUCACUAAUAACAACAUGAUAUUUCUUUAUUACUGGUUGUGUCUCAGAACUCUUUUAUUGAAUAAUUGCAGUCUCAUCUUAUUGAUUAGAAAAUCGGGUGACCUUUGCUCCCAUAUGCAUAGCCCAAAAAUAUGCACUUCGUACCCCAGAAAUAUGCACUUCUUCGCCCUCGACUCAAGCUCACUAUCAUUCGCAUGAUCAUAUGCAAGGAUCCGAAUAUACAAUCAAUUAGUUUCCUCAACUAUAUUUCCUCAGGAGUCUUCUACUUGAUAAUAGAUGAUAAAUAUUUAACCAAGUAACAUGACAUGUUCACUGCUUCGGAACAAAUUCCUUGCCAAGUCCUAUAAGUGAAAGCAUGCAUCGAGCUCGCGCAAGCAAAAUUCUAUCCUUCUAUUCUGCUACGCCAUUCUGAUGUGGUGUCCUAGGUACUGUACAAUGUCUCACCAUUCCUUUUUUCUCGCAAAACUCAAUAAAAUCCUUACCAAAGAACUCCAUGUUAUUAUCAGUUCUUAAGCACUUUAUUUGUAUAUUCGACUGCUUCUCAAUUAAUGCCUUAGAUUUAUCGAACCAAUCAAACACAUCAUACUUGUGCUUCAAAUAGUAUAUUCAUACCUUCUUCGAAUAAUCGUUGAUAAAUGUCAAUAUAUAUCGAGUACCUCAUUUUGAAAGAACUGGAGAUAGGCCCCAGUUAUCCAAAUGAAUGUAUUUAAUUGUAUCCAAAUGAAUGUAUUCAACCCAGUCAUUAUCAGUUCCUAUUAAUUCGGCAUUGCUUCCCAAAGAUAUAGUGCUCACAUACCCUUUUUUUUUUUAUACAUUUCAACAACCCAUUUCACUUAGUAUCGUCAUAUCUACCUCACUCAAGUGCCCUAAACGCAAAUGCCAUAACCAAGCUAGGUCAAAGUCUAACUCACCUGAUGAAAUUGUAGCGGUCCGAUCAUGGUCUCUUCCAAUAGAUGAUAGAGAGUAUUUACUUUCUUCUUUUUCAUUAUUGUCAUGACAUCUCAAGAGAUCUUCAGUAUUUCCACAUUCAGCGGUAUACCUUUACCUGAUGUUAUCGAGUGUCCCUAGUACAUGCCUUAUGUUUGUCAAUGUGCACACCACCCUAUCGUGCAUCCGAAUCUAAAUUAUUUCUAUUCUCAUAGCCUUGCAGGCUAUGUUAUUCCCCAAAAAAACUCUUGUAACAUCUGCAAUUUGAUAAGUAACAAGCCAAUUCUUAUGAAGCGUUAUAUGAUAAAAACCCCAUGAAUCUAGUACCCAUUCGUCUCCUGAAAAACUAGUAGUCGCACAUAAAACAGUUUCUGCAUCACUAGCGCUUCCCUCGACAACGUUCGCCACACUACUUAUGACAUUUUGUUUAUCACAUUUAUUCUUCCGCUCUAAACAAUCUCUCCUAAUGUGCCUCUCUUCAUGAUACUUAAAGCACUUUACGUGUCAUUUAUACUUUUUAUGACGUGAUUUGAACCUACUUUUACCUCUGCCGCCACUAAACCCUCAAUGAUGUUCUUUAUCCCGAAUUGUUAGUAUUUACACUACUUUUUACGCUAGACUGUCAUCUUGUAACUUUCUCUAUCACUUCUUAGAGAAUAACGCAGACUUUACCUCUUUCGAAAUAAUCGUAGUACGCCCCUACAAUAGUGAAUAAGUAAAGUGUUCUCACAACCCUAAUAAAGAAGUUAAAAACAUUAUGCCUUGUUCUUCAUCAUCAAGUAUCUUACCGAUGCUCCUCAAAUCCAUUGUAAGUUUAUUAAAUUCAUUUAGGUGGGAUUUGAUAAAUGUACAUUUAGUAUAUCUUCAACAUAUACAAGCGAUUAUUCAAAUCCUUAUUUAUAUAAAGUGCUUGAAGUUUUGCCUAUAAUGCUGCGGCAUCUUUCUCCUUAGCCACCUCUAUUAACAUCUCAUUUGAUAAAUUUAUUUAUUCUUUCCAUUAGUUCUACCCUCUUAGAGGCUUUCAUUAUAAUCAAUAACUCAUCUUCAUAAUCCAGUACUUUGGCCAAACCUAGGUUGUUAAUAGCACACGCAUCUUGAUGCUCCAUAAUCCAAAGUUGUUCAUCCCGCUAAACUUCUCAAUUUCAGCUUUCACUUAAACAUAAUUGCAAUAACAUAAUUUUCAGAUAAUAAUCAAACAAGCAAAAGUCCCAAGUGACAAUCAAGAAAUCUAAUCUCAAGCUCUAAUACCAAUUGUUAUAAUUUAAUAUGCGGAAACGACAGGAUCUUGCAAAUUAAGUCAAUACGAAAUCAUCAAAGAAUUAAACGAGGAAUAAUAGGAUACCAGAAAUUUACAUAAUUAAGUUCGAGUGUUGAUACCUACAUUCACAGAAAGAACCACCAGCAAAUAAUCCACUAUAAUCGGAUAAUCAGAGUUAUAAUCGCUCAUACACUCAAGUAUUUUCCACACUUAAAUUUAAGACUAAAUUCAAAAGUGUUUACAGAUAAAGAUGUAAAUUCACAGUACAAAAUCAACACAUACUCAAGCUUAAGCAAUACGCUCACAUACAGUGAAAAACAAGAAUUGCACUAUUUGGGCGCGUUUGAUAACGAUUAUGUUUCCGGGAACAGAUUUUGAUCAAAAAUAAUUCUUUUUUAUUCUGUUUCCGGGAACAAUUUCUGAGCAAAAAAACGUAUUUGGUAACUGUACAAAAUUUCUGAUUCUGGAAUAGAAAAAGAACAAAAAUACGUUUGGUAACUACAUAAAAUUUCUAUUCAAAUUCUAAAAUUUUAUCAAAUUAUAGAAAUUCUAUUGAUUAAUUAUAUUUAUACUAAGUAAUAAACAUAUUAACUAAUCAAUUUUUUAUUAAAUAGUAAAUAAUAAACUAUAGUAUAAACUAUAAAUAUAAAUACUAAAUAAUAAAUUAAAAUACAAAAUUAAAUAUGUAUUUUAUAAAUAGUAAAAUUUUAAUUCAUACUUCAAUUUUUUUUAAUAAUUUUAAUAACUUUUUCCUUUUUCCUUUUUUUCGUUUCUUCCUCCCCUUCUUCUUCUUCUUCAAGGUAGCCGGUAACCGGCGACCGGCCAAAUGAGGGCCGACAACCUCACGGGACUAUUGUCGACCCUCGUCAGUCGAGCCUCACUGGUGGCCAAGCAAGCCUCACCUAGCCAGCGACCUCACCGGACCGUCGUUGCCCCUCGUCAGCUGAGCCUCGCCAAAUUAGGAGGCUCGCCGGAUCAAUUGUCGGCAAUCGGCGGCGGUGGGAGACGAAUGGCAACCGCGGCGGUGGCAGUAGAUGAAAAAGAAGAAAAAGGAAGAAGAAGAAGAAGAAGAAGAAGAAGAAUAAAAAAAUGGUUUGAUUCUUAGAUUUGUUCCCAGAAACAAAAAUCGACUUUUUUUUUAUCUUAAUUCUAUUCUAACUCUACUUCCGGAAAUAAAAAAAAUAGAAAUUUGUUUCCGAAAAUAAAUUUUUUACCAAAUACGAUUAUGUUCCAAAACUACUCCUAAGAACAAAAAAUCAUAAUCAUGGCAUGUUUGGAUGGUUAGGUUACCAAAGAGGCAAUUUCUUCUAUACUCUUACGACAACUUGAUUUUUAGUGUGCAGCACUGGCUUUGUGCAGCUCCAAGGACGUCAUCAUGUGUGGGGGCUCUUCUUCGGGUUAAAGGAACCCCCAGAGGAUUCUUUUUUCCCUUUUUUAUACGGCUUCUGCAGGAGACGGAGAGAAGAUAAUAUCUUUCUUGACAAAAGUCCUCCCAGACCCUAAUUUUGUCCUUUAGUGCAAAACUAAUCCAAGUCAACCUUGAAUUCGUAUAUGCAAUAUUUCACUCCAGAUAGUUACGGAGAUCCAACACCUCAAGAAAACCAAAUCUGAUCCAAACAAUAGUCUGAAUAAAUCAAAAUCUUUCUACGGAUUAAGUUUCGUAAAAUUUUGAACUUAAGACAUAAUUUAAUAUUGUUAUAUCGUGAUGCUCAUUACCAUACAUGAUGAUCAUUAUAUCAAAGCGACUAUAAUGAAAAUUUCGCUUCGCAGGUGUGUUGAUUAUGAAAUUUCACCCCCUUGUUUAAGAUUCAAUAACAUUAAUCUAUGAGCACAUCCAAUUAAGUUCUUCUUUCCUCAAAAAUUUAUAAUUAAUAAGUUAUGAACGAUCAAAUAAAAUAUAAUACCCAUUCUAAACCGCAUCAAAUUCCCUGCAGCUCAAACGAUAGAAAUUGUAAUUAUCCCACUCUCGAGGAGGUCAGCAUAAUCCAAUUUCAGUAAGCUUAGGAUGACCCUAAGUUUGUCCGGAAGAAACUAUGCUGUCAUCAACCUUUAUUCCAUCCUUACAACUUCAAACUUUUCUGCUCGGCUAUAACAAUAAUCAACGAUGACAGAAGAUGACAGAGACCUUAACCUGUAAUUUGGCACAUAAAAUUUGUCACAUCCAGGGGACUCGUCCCAAUAUUCGCUCCAGCUUGACCAUUAGACCAUGCAGGCAGCGGGCCAAAGACGUACGGCAUUUUACUGCCGGAAACGAAGCAGGUUCACAUGGUCCGAGUACGUGAUCUUGAAUAUCUGCUCUUUUAGUGAUCUCAUGUGAUAUAAAAAUAGGUCGAACUUGGCCAAUUAAAUUGACACGAUCCCGAUUUAUUAUAUCCCCAUCUAAGAUAAUUCGUUACGUCCCGCAACCUAUUCGCACUCUUCUCCCAAAACAAAAAAUAAUAUAGAAAAAAUGCACCCGAAAGAAAAAUAUAAAAACUGGACAGAAGAAGAACUCCUUUUAUCAGCUCAAAGCCGCCCGUGGCAGCUCACGGACUCCUCUCAUUCCCUCUUCAGCUUCCAAUCUGAAGAAGAAUUCCCUUCUUUUGUUUCGAGAAUGUCUAACAGGAAGAAAAGCAACUCGCUUUCUCCAACCACCGCCCUCUUCCUCCUCCUCGUCGCCGGCGCCGCCGCCUCCUUCUCCGCCCAUGCAGCGACGGCACAGGGCCCCAUCCGGACGGUGGUCGUCCUGGUGAUGGAGAACCGGUCCUUCGACCACACGCUGGGUUGGAUGAAGCGCCUCAACCCGGCCAUCAACGGCGUCGACGGCUCUGAGUCCACCCCGCUCUCCACCGCCGACCCCAACUCCACCCGGUUCUACUUCGACGACCGCUCCCACUACGUGGACCCAGACCCGGGCCACUCCUUCCAGGCGAUCCGGGAGCAGAUAUUCGGGUCCGACAACACGUCGGCGGACCCGCCCCCGAUGGACGGGUUCGCCCAGCAGGCCUACUCGAUGGACCCGUCCAUGAACAUGUCGAGGGACGUCAUGAGCGGGUUCAACCCCGAUAUGGUCGCCGUCUACAAGGCCCUCGUCUCCGAGUUCGCCGUCUUCGACAGGUUUUCUCCUCAAUCCUCCUCUCUCACUCUCUUGUUUUUUCCUUUUUCCCUUUCUUUCCGAUAUCAAAGGAUAAUGCAGAACGUAAAUAACUGGAAAAUUUUUGUUCAUUUCACAUCUACCGGUUUAAGAGGCGGGUCUCACAGGAAACCUGCAAUGGGGGAUGAUUGUUUCGACGGAUCAUGGUUCGCUUAGGGAGAUGAGUUCACAGAAAACAUUUUCUUUCCCACCAAAACUUAAUAUAGGAAAAUGGUUUCCUUUAUGAAAAACCGAAAAUAUAACUAGGUAGGCGCCAGGACCUAAAACAUUCCCGGGUGCCAAGGUUAGGACCAAGCCUCCGGCACCCGACCCAGAUCCAAAAAGGCGUGCUCGGAUCCCCGCCGCUCGAACUCUGAUCCCUGAAAACACCGUGCGCAGGUCUCGGUGCUCAAGCUCAGCACAAUGGUUAAUAAAACUAGGUUCUUAUAAAAAUAUUUAUCAAAAUUUUUUAAUUUCGAAUUCUUUUUUCUUUUUGCUUCUUCCUUGAUCGGUCCCCGGUCACAGCGUUUGCCGACGACCGGCCACAGGUGAGUUCAAGCCUUGGCCAAGGCUGGCGAGCUAGGCAAGGCUACUCCUUUCGUACUUGAAACAUAUCAAAAAAUUUGUUCAUACCUCCAUGGCCAGAUGUGAGCUCGUGAAACAAUCGAAAGAGAAACCGGAGCUUCAUGAGCCACAACUUUGCUUUCCUUUCCUCCUCCGUCCAUUUCCUGAAAUCGUUGGCUAAAUCGGCCUCAGGCGAGUAGUUUGGCAAGUCUCGAGCCUUCCCUAACUCACCAAAUUUUGGCAAGGCUUGAUCUCGCUUGUGGCCAAUUGCCGGCCAUGGCUAGUGAGUGGUGACCAGCCAAGAAAAAAAGAAAAUAGAAGGACAAAACAAAAGAAAAAAAUUUAAAAAAAAAUGAAAUUUUUGAUAAUUUCUCCCAAGAAUCCAUGCUAAAUAACGAAAAAUAUUUUUUAAUUUAUUUUUAGGUUUUAGUUAAAAAUAAAAUAACAUUAUUAUUUUCACCAAAAAAAGAAUAUUAUUAUUUUCUAGAAGUAUUAUAUUUUUCAUGAAAUAAAUAUAGUUAAAAUUGCUUUUUAAUUUAUUUCGUAAUUGUUAGAUUAAAGUUUAUUUAUAUUUUGACGAAAACUUUAUAAGCGGGAGAGAGAGGAUAUUCUUGGUUUGAUGCGGGAUUAUAGUGCCCGAAAGAUGAAUCUUCUCUCGUUUGACUAAGGAUAGAUUUGACAUUAAAAAGGAAUUGGGUUUAAUUGCCACUGUCAGAUUCAUGUGUACGUGGAGUGUUAGGCUGGAGCUUAAUUAUUAAUUCGACGAAAGUACUAACUUUCUUCAACCAUUCAUUUUUCGCGAAUUAAACCAAAUUUUCUUGCUAAAAAAAAGAGAAUUAAAUCAAAUUUUAAAAAAUAGAGAUAUUUAAAAAUGAAUAAGCCCUAUCAUCCACUUCAUUUCCAACACACCUUAGCUGUUCUCAGCAGGGGAAAUAGCUACUUUUAGUCUGAAAGUCAUUCAAUCAUGGAGUUGACUUCUUCAGUACCUUGAAUUGGGAUCUUUCCCCGAUAGAAUCUAUGUCUCCCAAUCAAAAGCCACAAUUUGCUGAUGACUUGCAUAAAACAGGCUGGUCGGUAUCUGGAUCUUUUCUUUUUGAUGGGAAAGAAUUCGCCAUUUGACUGAUUAAUUUGUACAUAUGCUACUAGGUGGUUCGCGUCUGUGCCGUCGUCGACCCAACCGAACCGCCUCUACGUGCACUCUGGCACGUCGGCAGGCGCCACCAGCAACAUCCCCGCCCUCCUCAUCAAGGGCUACCCGCAGCGCACCAUCUUCGAGAACCUUUACGACGCCGGCCUCUCCUUCGGGAUUUACUUCCAGAACAUCCCCGCCACGCUCUUCUACCGCAACCUCCGGAAGCUCAAGUACCUCACCAAGUUCCACCCGUACGGCCUCUCCUUUAAGAAUGACGCCAGGCGGGGGAAACUCCCGAACUACACCGUCGUGGAGCAGCGCUUCAUGGACACCAAGCUGGCGCCCGCCAACGACGACCACCCGUCGCACGACGUGUACCAGGGGCAGAUGUUCGUGAAGGAGGUGUACGAGACGCUCAGGGCGAGCCCGCAGUGGAACCAGACGCUGCUACUGAUCACGUACGACGAGCACGGCGGGUACUUCGAUCAUGUUCCCACGCCGGUCCGCGGGGUCCCCAGCCCGGACGGCAUCGUGGGGCCCGAGCCCUUCAACUUCACGUUCAACCGGCUGGGUGUGAGGGUCCCCACCAUUGCAAUUUCGCCUUGGAUCGAAAAGGGCACCGGUGCGUUUUCCUAUCACUCUCCCAUUAACUUAGAAGCGUGGUGGAACGUGAAUCAGCUUAUCAUAAUGCGUGUGGACGGUAAUUUCCAAGCAACUAGUCCUGUGAGCGUCCAAUCACAGAUCGCGGAGGAAAAAAAAUACUUAAUCACAAAAGAAUGGCGUGCAAGUCACGCAAGCUUUUUCCUUUUGGUUUUUGCUCUGGAAAAAGACAUAGUGAGCUGAUGGUACUUCGACUCUGGUUGAUGAACUCUCCUCCUCUUUUUCCAGCCUUUUCUUUCUCUGUCCAAUUGCUCAACUUGCGAAAGUAAUGCUCAUCAUUGAAGUUUUGUCACAUUUCCUCUGUUGACAAAUCAUUGGAAUGUGAACAGAACCUGGGUUUCCUCUCAUGAAAGAGAUUUCCCUUCCUGAAGUGAACUUUAUAAAAUAGUGGGUGGUCCUUUGACUGCCUUCGAAAAUCACCAGUGUCAUUCGCUUAGGCCAUUUGGAUGACUCUGUCAUCUAUACCCCACAGUUUGAUAAUGAUAAAAGAGCUUUGUCGACCGAAUAACGAAAGUUUUUCGUUCUUCUGUACAAUGUUGUUCAUGCUCUCAUGACGACAAAAAAUUGCAGUUGUCCAUGGGCCCAACGGGUCGCCCUCUCCGACGUCCGAGUACGAGCACUCCUCAAUCCCUGCAACAGUCAAGAGGCUUUUCAACCUCAGCGCGCCUUUCCUCACUAAGCGAGAUGCAUGGGCUGGCACAUUCGAGGGCAUCGUGCAAACACGCACUCAACCAAGAACUGAUUGUCCAGGUUUGGUGACAGAUGCACUGAUUAUUUCCACACAGUCAGAACAUAGAUGAAGUCAUGUAUAUGUUAAAAGCACAAUAGUGAUCAUUCCUCAAUGCGAAAGCACAGAAUUUCGCAAACAACAUCAUAAGUUCAUAACUAGUAUUUGAUGAGCCUUCAAGUAAACACAUAAUUUGUAAUUUAUCAUGCCGACAGAGAAACUCCCGACUCCAGUCAAGAUCAGGAAAGGCGAGGCUAAGGAAGACGCCAAGCUAAGCGAAUUCCAGCAGGAGCUCAUGCAGCUCGCAGCGGUGCUGAAGGGCGAACACAUUUUCUCAAAUAACCUGGAGAGUUUCGGGAAGGAGAUGACCGUCAAAGAAGGGAAGGAGUACAUGGAGGAUGCAGUCAAGAGCUUCUUUGAGGCGGGUCUUUAUGCCAAGAAAAUGGGUGUUGAUGAAGAGCAGAUUGUGAAGAUGAGGCCUUCACUCACCACAAGGCCAUCAUCAAAACCCUAAAACAUACACUCCCCAACAUACAGAUGCUGUACAUGAGCAGAGCAUAAAUGUUUGAGCAUUGUAAGAAACAGAAACUUAAUAAAAUCUAAAGCUCUCCUGCAACGAAAAGGUGAGCAACAAACGAAGGUGACUAUUGUUUGCAAGUUUUCUUGCUUCAUCACAAUUGCACAGGUGAUAGCACAAGCUUCACAUGCUGUAUGUCCAAAUGUUCAUUAGUUCAUCAUAGGGAAAUUGACACAAAUGGCUCAUGAAUUUUGACCUAAUGUGCAAUGUGGUUCCUAAACUUUAGCUCAAUAUUAAUGUAGUCCUUAAACUUUUAAUUUGUUCAAUAUGAUCCAUAGACUUUUAAUACAUGUUUAAUUUAAUCUUUGUACUAUGUGCAAUUCUGUAAUGAUUUUCACAUGACAGGUUAGCUUCUGUUUAGUGUUUCCCAUUGGGGAAUAUUAGCAGUGGCCUGAUUCACCAUCUUCACCAAUCAAACUUGCUAGAAAAUUAAACAAGGAAAAAAAUUGAGAGUGUCACCUUCCCAUCCAGCUCUUGUAAAAAGUGGGAUAUAGACCUCAAUGCACACAAGUUUAAUAUCUUAGGAUAGAUGGCACAAAUGAUCCAUGAACUUUGGCUCAAUAUAUAAUGUGAUCUUAGAAAUUGAAAUUUGUUCAAUAUAAUCCUCGAACUUUUCUAAUUAUGGCACUCCUAAAGCCAAGGCUAGUAUAUGUAUAGUACCGAAACAAAUCAUCAUUCCCAACUCAAGACCGUAUUUCCAUACCUCGAUGCUCACCCUCAUGCCCAAUCACCCUUCCAUCAAAGGAGCCGUAACACAUUUUUCGCUUGGCAAGUGCGUUAAUUAUGAAAUUUCUCCUCCUUGUUAAAGAUUCAAUAGUGUUGAUCCACAAGCACAUCCAAUGAAGUUCAUCUUUUCUCAAAAAUUUAAAACCAAUUGAGUUAUGAAUAAUCAAUUACAAUGUAUUAACUGCUUCAAAUCACAUCAAAUUCAUCGAGCCUCAACAAUUCCUACUCUUGAAUUGCAGUUGUCCCACUCUUGAGGAGCUCAGCAUAUUCCAAGUUCGGUAAAGCUUAAGAUGACCCAAAGCUUGUCCGGAAGAAACUGUGCUGUCAUCAACCCUUUCUCUAUCCUUUCAACUUUAAACUUUUCUGCUCGGCUGUAACUAAAACCGAUGGCAGAAGAAGACCAGACCUUAACCCGUAAUUUGGCACAUAAAAUUUGUCACAUCUAGGGGAGUUUUCCCGAUAUUCGCUCCGUCUCGGCCAUUAGGUGAACAUACACUGCGUUUGGCCGGAACCGGAACGAGUUCACAUGAUCCGAGUACAUGAUUUUCAAUAUCUGCUCUCUUGGCGAUCUGGUGUGGUUGAAAAAGAAGUCAAAACUUGUCCAUUAAACUAACAUUAACACGGUCUCAAAUUAUUGCAUCCCAUCAAGAGAUUUCAUUACGUCGCGCAACCUAUUCACACUCUUCUCCCAAACUGUCUCCCCUGUCACCCGCAUUUUCUCAGCCUCCCGAAGCAGCUCACGGAGCUCCACUCACUCUCUCCCCAACUUCCAAUCUGAAAAAGAAUUCCCUUCUUUUGUUUCGAGAAUGUCUAACGGGAAGAAAAGCAACUCGCUUUCUCCGACCGCCGCCUACUUUCCUCCUCGCUCUCCUCCUCACCGCCACUGCCGUCUCCUUCUCCGCCCAUGCAGCGACGACCCAGAGCCCCAUCCGGACGGUGGUCGUCUUGGUGAUGGAGAACCGGUCCUUCGACCACAUGCUGGGGUGGAUGAAGCGCCUCAACCCGGCAAUCAACGGCGUCAACGGCUCCGAAUCCAACCUGCUCGCCACCUCCGACCCCAAGUCCCCCCGGUUCUACUUCGACGACCGCUCCCACUACGUGGACCCGGACCCAGGCCACUCCUUCCAGGCGAGCCGGGAGCAGAUAUUCGGGUAUGACGACACGUCGGUGGACCCGCCCCCGAUGGACGGGUUCGCCCAGCAGGCCUACUCGAUGGACCCGUCCAUGAACAUGUCUAGGGACGUCAUGAGCGGGUUCAACCCGGACAUGGUCGCCGUCUACAAGGCCCUCGUCUCAGAGUUCGCCGUCUUUGACAGGUGUUCUCCUCAAUCCUUCGCUCUCAUUCUCUUGUUUUUUCUUCCAAUCUUUCCGAUAUCAAACAAUAAUGCAGACCCUCUUGUAAAAUAUUGCGUUGCGAAUAUAUAAUAGAGAAGAGAUUGAGAAGAGAAAGCAAGUGAACACCAAAAAUAGCAAAGAAAGCCAAACGAGAAAGUUUUAUUUUCAGUAUCUCACAGUUGUUCUGUAUUGUUCUUUUUGUACAUCAAAACUAAACUCAUAUUUAUAUGAGAACAAAAAUGUACUUAGUACCGAAUGAUAGGAUAGAAAAUAUGAACGUUCAUUAUAUAGAGAGAUGUACUUAGAAUGUAUGAUACAGGUGCAUUAAAUAAUAUGAAUAUAAUAAAUAUUCAUUUAUGUGUUUCAUAAUAGACCCUAAAUAAUUGGAAAAUUUAUACUCGUUUCAUAUGUACCGAUUUAGUAGGUAGAUUCCAUUUAUCUCACGAAAAAUAUUUUUUAAAAUAAAAUUUUUCUCAUUUUCUAAAAUUUAGUUUGCUUGAGAAAAUAAGUAAAGGAAGCUUAAAUUUAGGAAAAUGAUUUUUUUUUUGAAAAAUCAAAAAAAAAAAAAUCCAAAAUAUGGCUAGAUAUCGGUAUUUAAAUCCUCAACUCGACAUUUAGGCACGAAAAACCCAAUGUUAGUUCUUGAAUCCCAACAUUCCAGACCAAGUCACUAGCAGUCAAGCGAGGGUCCAUCAGGGUGAGGCCCCUAGUGCUCGUACCUACACCCAACCCGAGUCCAAAAAGGCCAUGCUCAAGUUCCUGACACUCAAGCUCUAGUCCCGAGUCCACAAACACCAUGUGCAGGUCGUCGAUGCUUGGGUUUGAGUCAUUGGUUAAUAAGAUGUACAUUCUUAUUAAAAAAAAAGUUAAAAAGCAUUUUUUAUUAUUAUUAAUUUUUAAUUUUUAAUUUAUUCUUUCUUUUUCUUUUCUUUUUGCUUCUUCCUUGGUCAAUCACCAAUCACAGUGAUGUUCGAUGACUAGCCACAAGCAAGCUCAAGCCUCACUAGCUUCGAGCAAGGCUACUCCUCUUGUACGUGUAACCUAUCCUCGAAAAAUUUGUUCAUAUCUCCAUGGCCAGAUAUGAGCUCAUGAGCUGAUCGGAAGAGGAACUGGAGCUUUGUGAUGGAGCUGUGACUUUGCUUUCUUUUCCUCCUUCGUUCAUUUCCUGAAAUUGUUGGCUACAUCAGCCUUGACAAGUGGGCUGGCAAGACUUGAGCUCGCCUGUGGCCGAUCGCUAGCCAUCACCGUGGCCAGCAACCAACCAAAAAAGAAGCAAAAAGAAAAAGAAAGAAAAAAAUAAAAAUAACUAAAAUAUAAUUUUUUAUGAUAAUUUUCCCCAACAAAUGGUGAAAAUAUUUUCUUGUGUAUUUUGAAGUUCUGGCCAAAUAUGAAAAGAUAAUAUUAUUUUUCUUGAAAAUGACUUCUUAUAGUAUAUUUUUCAAAAAACAAAUGAAGUCAAGGUCGCAUUUUAAUUUAUUUCGUAAUUGUUAUAUUGAAAACUUAAACUUAGACAGAGAGAGAGAGAGAGGAUAUUCUUGGUUUGAUGCGCGACCAUAAUGUUGAAGUUGCAGCUACUAUUAAUAUUAAAGUGAUAGAAUGAGAUGGUCACCAAUAAUGUCUGACAAUAAUUCAAGUUCAAGCAAGAAUCUUCACAAGUUUGAUUAAUGAUGGAUGUUGACUUAAAAAAGAAAGUGAUUUUAAUUGCCACAGUCAGAUUCUUGGGGAAUGUCCUGCUCGAGCUUAAUUGUUCAUUCGAGAAAAACACUAGCUUUUCGAAUCAGUCUUCUUUUCGAACCAAAUCAAGCUUAAAAAAAGAAUAUUAUACUAAUGUAUUGUCCAGAUAUUUCAUUUUCAACAGGAAAAAAGUCACCAUUUAACUAAUUAAUCGUACAGGUGCCACCAGCAACAUCUCCGCCCUCCUCAUCAGGGGCUACGCGCAGCGCACCAUCUUCGAGAACCUCGGCGUCGCCGGCCUGUCCUUCGGGAUAUACUGUUGCUCAUGCUCUUAUGACGAAAAAAAUUGCAGUUGUCCAUGGGCCCAACAGAUCGCCCUUUCCGACGUCCGAGUACCAGCACUCCUCAAUCCCUGCAACACUCAAGAAGCUCUUCAACCUCAGUGCGCCCUUCCUCACUAAGCGAGAUGUGAUGGAUUUAUGAGAUGGGCCUAAGUUGGCCCGUCCGCCCAAGUUGGGCCCAAAAAGCCCGGCCCACGGGAAUAGGGCCCGUGGAAGGGGAGAGGUAUAAAAGGGAGGAGAGAGAGAGAGAAGACAACGUUUGACAAUUCAACGUACGUCUUCUCCCGCGCGUUCUCUCUUCCUCCAAAAAGAACAGUAAGUUCAAGGCACUGUUUUCUCUCCUUCAAGUCAUCAUCAGAUCGAACGGGGCCAGAAUUUCUUCCUCUUCUUCGGCAUUGGUGUUUAAUCUGUGGCUAACAAGGUACGCUCGAAUCCGUGGUGUGCUUUACGAUCGGUGAUGCGUGUUUUCCCGGGCUUCGUCUUCCGCAUUGAUUUAGGGGUUCGAUUCGGUGUCGAAUCCGGUUUUUGGGGAUCAGUAAUUCCCAACAUUGGUAUCAGAGCCCUGUUUCACGUCUUUCCCGAUCAAUUCUGAUGUUUUUGAUUGAUUUUUCGCGAAAUCCCUUCGGCCGUACGGAACCGGGCGAAAAUCCCGACACCCGAGCGCUUUUCGGCCUUUUUUCUGAAAUUUCGUAAGUCGAAAUAAAAAUCUGAUGCUACAGGGAGAAAGGGGGCGUCGAGACGAGUUUGGCGGUAUGUCGAGCGCCGCCGGGAGACGCCGCACGCGCCCACACGCGCGGCCGGAAGGCGCUGCGCGUGGGAGCGACGCGCCCGGAGGCGCUGGUUCGCCCAGGCGCGUGUGGCACACGCGCCGGUGGCGAACCGGCGGGCGCGCUCGCCGCCGGCGACGAACCGGCACGCGCCGGUCCACGGACCGACGCGUGCUGACGUCAGCAUGACGUCACCCAACGGUCAGUAACCGCUGGGCUGACGUCAUCGAUGACGUCGGUUGGCCGGGCGGCGACCCGACCCGCGAACCGACCCGACCCGCUGACGAAGGCACGCGCCCGGCACGUGUCAGAUGACGUCUGCGUGACGUCAUUCCCCGCACGCGCGAGGCACGUGCGGUCGGUCCGUGCGAGCGGUCCGACCGGCCCGUCCGGUCCGACCGGUUCGACCGUCGCGACCCGUUUACCGUUUACCGUUGACUUGACCGUUGACCGUUGACUUGACCGUUGACCGUUGACCGUCCGUUGACCUGAAAAAAAAAAAAAAAAAAAAAAAAAAAAAAAUUUGUUUCUUUUUCAAUUAUGUCUGUGUGGGUUGUAGGUAAUCCAUUUUUAUUCUGCAUUUGUUGCAUGAAUCAUGGAAAUUUAUGUAUUUUCCAUUUUGUUUAUUAUGGAUUAUAAGUGAUCCAUUUUAGUUCUGCAUUUGUUGCAGAAACUAUGAUGCGUAAUGCACGGAUACCUGCAAUCCCGAGAACGGACGAAGGAAGAGCUAGACUGAAAAGGCUGAUGAAAGAGUUAGCUGAUUUUCGGUGGCUUGAUGGUGAUUUAGUAUCACAUAUGGUCAAGGUCAAUCAGAUGAUACAGGAAAUCAUCAAUAAUGGUUAUCUUAUGCCGGAUUUUGAGAAGGUGCCGGCUUUGUUGAACACUCUUCCACCUGAAUGGCAAGCAGUGUUAGAUCGGCUAUGGGAGGUCAACGUGGUCCCGGGUUAUAGGAGGUUGGUGGAAGCUUUUGUAAGAGAGUACUAUAGGAUUGAGUUGGCCAAAACUUCAACCCUUAGAUUGUGCUCUACGUGGCGCAGAGUGAAUGCGCCUUGGUGGCGACAUGAAAACUCUCCAAAAGUUUUUCCAUGGUUGGCAAAUGUACCUUCAGUUUUCUCAGAUGUUUUGACUGAUAGAUUAGAAGGGACAUUCCCUAAUUAUUUCUUAGAUUAAUUAUGAGAUGUUUUAUGGAUGUAAAUAUCUCUUUCCAAGUUGAUAUUUUUUCUUUGUAUAUAUUGCUCAGUGUAAUGUAUAGUUGUAUUAUGUGAAAGCACUGUUAUUAUAUUGAAUGUUAGAUAAUAUUUGCUUUCUGUUACUGCUGAUUGCUGUGGGUAGUUAGCUGUGGGUAGUUAUAGAAGUUUUUGUAACUUCAUAGAAUUGAUUUUGCAUAUGACAAUCAUAUUAAUGAUAGUUUUAAGUUAGGAUUUUUGGAGGAUGAUUGGAAACGUAGUGACCUUUUGAUUCUGAAGUCUUACUUAAAAUUAUUCAUUAAUAUGAUGGGUCUAUAUAAAUAGGGAUGCAUAAAUGAUAGGCAUUAAUUAUUCGUGCAUGUAUGUCUGAUGUGUUCAGACUGAUGAUUUCAGCAACUAAGAACGUGAUUGCUGAUAUGAACGGCAACUAUUGUGAAAUAUUGAAUAUGGAGAUUCAAUAUGUGCUGGAAAAGCAAGAAGUACUAGAAGCUCUUGACCAUAUUAUGGAAGAUCUUGAGGGUGUCAUGCACCACCUUGAGCUAACAGAGGACCGCCUAACGGCAUUUGAGCUGAGAAUAGAUAUUUGCAAUGCUGGUUCUAGCUCAUAAAGGGUUUUGAGCUCUAAGCGCAAGCGUAUUGAUUCGUUCAAUAUGUGGGAAUGCAAAGGAUCAAGUCCUUAUUGUAAGAAAUCAAGAAUUAACCAACAAGAGAGAGGAAAGCGUCCUCAAGUGAAUAAAAUGUCAAGGGUGUGAUGUUACAAUUGUGACAAGAGAGGUCACUAUGCUCGCGACUGUCGUGAGCCAAAGAAGCUAUACACCUCUUGUACAUUUGAGAACUUUGCUUAUGUGUCAAGUUCUGCAUUAUAGGCUGAAUCCAAUCCUUUGUGAAAUGUAGAUUCAUGAGCGACAGACCAUGUAGCAAAGGAUAGAGGAUCCUUUGUGGAAUUCCGACGAAUACCAACUGGAACUUAAGUGUAUCUAUGUAGGAAAUAACUCCAGAGAUGAAGUUAAAGGAAUUGGCACCGGCCAAUUGAAUAUGCGUGGUGGACGCACCUUAUUCCUACACGAUGUUCUAUAUGCUCCGGAGAUUCGUCGAAAUUUAAAUGUCUGUUUUGAUAUUGGUUAAGCUUGGUUUUAGAAUGAACUUCCAUAAUAAAGGUGUAGAUUUGUAUUUAGGUACAAACUAUUAUGGUUGUGGUCACUUUCUAAAUGGUUUUAUUGUACUAAAUGUUGACUGUGAUGAUGUCAAUACGUUAUUCCCUUGUUUCACGUCUUCUAUUUUAUAUGAUAAUGAUGUGAAUAUAGUGGCAUGCUAGACUUGGUCAUAUGGGCCAACAACAUAUGAAAAGACUAGCCAAAAAUGGCUUAUUGGGCAACAUUGAAAAAGGCGAUUUGCCCAUAUGUAAGCAUUGCCUAGAAGGGAAAAUGACAAGGAGACCAUUUGGAAAAGAUAAAAGAGCUGAAUUUCCUCGGCAUUUAAUCCAUUUGGACAUCUGUGGUUCAAUAAAUGUGAGAGGAAGGCAAGGGGCUGUUUGUUUCAUCACUUUUAUGGAUGAUUCUACUUGAUUCGGAUGUGUCUAUUUGAUUUCUCAUAAAUCUGAAGCAUAAGUUGUUUCAAAAGGUUCAUGAACCUGAUUGAAAAUCAAUUAGACAAGAAAAUAAAAGUAUUUAGAUCCGAUCAAGGUUGAGAAUAUUUAUCUGAUAAGUUCAGAAAAUUAUGUGAUGAAAAGGAAUAGAAAGAUAGUUGUCUAUUCCGUAUACUCCUCAACAAAAUGGUGUUGCAGAGAGAAGAAACAGAACCUUACUGGAAUGGUUAGGUCCAUGAAGGCGCAUGCUAACUUACCCAUCACUUUUUGGAGUGAUGUGCUGUUAACUGCUGCCUAAAUACUUAACCGGGUGCCUUCCAAAUCAGUUAGUUUCACUCCAUAUGAGUUAUGGAUAUGUAGAAAAACCGGACUUAAGUUUACUUAAGCCAUGGGGUUAUGCUGUCUAUACUCAUAUGUCCUCUCACAAGUUUGGGAAAUUGAGUCCCAUAUAAAAGUAGAGUAUUUUAAUGAGAUACUCCGAACACUCAAAAGGGUAUGUGUUCGUAAGUGAGCAGGAAAGUGGGAGAAUAACUGAAUUUGAAUCACAGGAUGUCACAUUCUUAGUGGAUGAAUUUCCUAAGAAGGGCGAAAUAGGGGAAGAUUACUUCCUAUUUGAAACCUUGGAUUAAGAUUAUGAUAUUAAUGGAGUUCAUCCAAGUGGGAGUAAUAUAAGAUGUGAUGAAUUGAAUUCAACACAUUCUCAAUUGCAACCACCUGAUGUGACGACAUUAUCAUUACCUAAUCCAAGUGGGAGCAUAAUGGGGAAUGAUGUGCUAAGUGUACAAUUUCCCAUACGGUGAACAAGUCACUAAAGUAUUCCCCGUCGAUGUUUUGACAUUGAAAGGGAAACUUCUAUGGUUGCUCCACAAGAUGAGGAUGAGCCAAGAAAUAUUAAUGAGGCUCUAAAUUGCCCUAGUAAGGAGAAAUGGAUUUAUGCAAUGAAAGAGGAAAAUGGAGUCAAUGAAAUCAAACCAAGUCUGGGAACUGGUUGAUCUUCCAAAAGGACGCAAAGCCAUUGGGAACAAGUGAGUUCUCAAAGAAAAGCGAAAGGCUGAUGGCUCGAUUAAAAGGCAUAAGGCUCGCCUUGUGGCGAAGGGGUAUAAUCAAUAGGAAGGAAUUGAUUAUGAAUAUAUUUUUUCUCCUAUAGUAAGAUUUGCCUUGAUUCGCAUAGUUCUGGCAAUAGUGUUUAGUAUGGAUCUUGAGUUACAUCAAAUGGAUGUAAAGACUGCUUUCCUCAAUGGAGAAUUAGAGGAAGAAAUUUAUAUGGAACAACCUGCUGGUUUCAUAAUGGAAGGCCAAGAAGAAAAGGUAUGUCGACUUUGGGGGUCGAUAUAUGGCCUUAAGCAGUCGUCAAGACAAUGGUAUAUGCGUUUUCAUAAUGCCAUAAUGGCAUAUGAGUUUACAAUGAUUGAUGAUGAUUAUUGUGUAUAUAUCAAAAGAUCCGAGGAUCAAUUUGUGAUCAUAUCAUUAUAUGUUGAUGAUAUACUGAUUGCCGGAAGCAAUAUGGAGUUUGUUAAUACUGUCAAAGAGAUAGUUGUCUUCCAACUUUGAGAUGAAUGAUAUGGAAUUGUAAACCCAUAGAUACUCCUAUUGCAAAAGGUGAAUAGUUGAGCCAUAGACUGUGUCCAAGGACUUCACAAGAGAAGGAACAUACGAAAUAUGUUCCUUAUGCUAGUGCUAUUGUGAGCUUGAUGUACGCUAUGAUGUGUACAAGACCUGACAUAUGUUAUGCAGUUGGAAUGGUGAGUAGAUACCAAUCCAACCCAGGUCAAGCACGAUGAAAAGCCGUUAAAAUGAAUACUAAGGUAUCUAAAGGGGACUGCUGAUUAUACGUUGAGUUAUUAAGGAAAGGAUCUGCAACUCAAAGGCUAUUCUGAUGCUGAUUGGAGAGGAGAUUUAAUGAAAGAAAAUCUACCUCUGGAUUUGUUUUUUCUUACCGAAUAAUUGCACCAUAUGUUGGAGCAGUAAGAAACAAAAGUGUAUAGCCUUGUCCACGAUGUAAAUUGAGUCCGUGGCAUUAUCAGCAGCAGUAUAAGAAGAUGUUUGGCUUAAGAGAUUAUUGGAUCAUUUAGGUGUUAUUGGAAGUACUGCAGAUUUGUUAUUAGUUAACUAUGAUAAUCAAGCAGCAAAAGUGUACACUAAAGAUCCAAAUAUCAUGGCAAGACCAAACAUAUAGAUACCAAGUAUAAUUUUUGUCAUGGAUAUGAUUGCACGAAAAGAUGUGAACUUAUAGUACAUACUACGCAUAGAAUUGUAGCAGAUCCUAUGACAAAGCCAGUACUUAGAGAUGUGUUUUGUGGCCAUGUGAAAUCUCUAGGAUUGCGUAGAGGAUGAUGUACUGAAUAUUGUAAUUUCCCUAAGAGUUCACAUUUGAUGAAUUUGUGUUUUCAUCAUUAAUGCCUAUGAAUCUUUGUUUGAUCUUUAUGCAUCUUAAUGCUCAGUGCAUUAUUUUAAGUUAGAAGAAGUAUGUCGGACAGAUGAGAUUAGCCCACUCACACGGGUAAUCGCCUCUAUUUACUGUGUGAUAAAUAGAGAUGAGACUGUUUUUAAGCUUAUUAUCUGGGUGAUAAUCGAGAGCUCAAGCUUAAAACACGUAUGUCGCCUUAACUGGGUGUUAAGAUGAGGACAUAAUACUUACUAUGUCCGAAAGUAAAAUACCCCACAUAUUUUACUUUAUCUGUCUAUGAUGCCAGAUGUGAGUUCUGAUGAAUUUUGUAAAUGAGUAGAUACGUGAACUCAAGUUAGACAUUGGGUAUGUCUGAACUAUCAUCUGUACGGUAUUGAAAGGUGUAGACAUACGCUCCAUGGGAAAGGAGUUAAUACCGUAAUACGUAUUUCAUACUACGUAUGCAUGAGACGACCAAUAAGAGUGGCAAAAGUUUGAUCUCAACUUUUUAUGUCGUGUGAGACUCUUGAGGAAGAGAGUUCCUCAACUUCUUAGUCCCCUCAUGACUCUUACUUAUUCUCAAGAUUUCUAUUUAGUGUUUGCUAUCUUAGGAUGUUGCCAAUGAUCAUGAGUUUGAUUCGAUCUAAUGGGGCAUUUCUAGAAAAGCAAGCUGGACUGAAAUUGAGAGUUUGAAGGAAAGAGGAAGAUCGAUUUUGGAGAAUCACAUUGUAGUUUUGUAUUCACCGGUUAACCAAUUAUAACUGUCUUUGUGAUAAUCAUAAUUGUGAAUACAAUAAAUAUAUCAUUGUUUAAAAGAGAUCAAGAGAGAUAAAAAUGUGAUCGAUCGAUCUAGGGUACUGCAUACUAAAUCUACUCAGGAAGUGAUGCCCAUUAUGAGCUGCUAUGUAUUCCUAACAGAUGUAUGGCAACGAGCUCUCAAAGUAUGCUGGUCGCACGGAUUAUUCACCGGUAUGAAUGUUGAAUAGAGGAAAAGAGGAUUAUGUUCGACCCACCAUGUUAAGAGAAAGUCUAUGAUGGAUUUUUUCUCUAAUGAGGCCGAGUAGGGCUUGUCCGCCCAUGUUAGUUUUGUACCACCAUGUGCGAGUGGGAGAUGAUGGAUUUAUGAGAUGGGCCUGAGUUGGCCCGUCCGCCCAAGUUGGGCCCAAAAAGCCCGGCCCACGGGAAUAGGGCCCGUGGAAGGGGAGAGGUAUAAAAGGGAGGAGAGAGAGAGAGAAGACAACGUUUGACAAUUCAACGUACGUCUUCUCCCGCGCGUUCUCUCUUCCUCCAAAAAGAACAGUAAGUUCAAGGCACUGUUUUCUCUCCUUCAAGUCAUCAUCAGAUCGAACGGGGUCAGAAUUUCUUCCUCUUCUUCGGCAUUGGUGUUUAAUCUGUGGCUAACAAGGUACGCUCGAAUCCGUGGUGUGCUUUACGAUCGGUGAUCGUGUUUUCCCGGGCUUCGUCUUCCGCAUUGAUUUAGGGGUUCGAUUCGGUGUCGAAUCCGGUUUUUGGGGAUCAGUAAUUCCCAACAAGAUGCAUGGGCCGGCACGUUCAAGGGUAUCGUGCAAACUCGCACUCAGCCGAGAACAGACUGUCCAGGUUCGUUGACAAAUGUACUGAUUAUUCCCACAUAGCCAGAACAAAGAUCCAAGUCAUGUAUAUGUUAAAUGCAACAAUGGCGAUUGCUUCUCUAUGCGUAAGCACGUGAUUACAGAACCGACAUCACAAAUGCAUAGCCUAGUGCCUUUAAGUAAACAUGUGUGAUUUGUAGUUUAACAUGCCAACAGAGCAACUCCCGAACCCAAACAAGAUCGGGAAAGGCGAGGCUAAUGAAGAUGCCGAGCCAAGUGAAUUCCAGCAGGAGCUCUUGCAGCUUGCAGCAGUGCUAAAAGGUGAUCACAUUUUCACAACUUACCCCGAGAGGCUCGGGAAGGAGAUGACCGUCAGAGAAGGGAAGGAGUACAUGGAGGAUGCAGUCAAGAGCUUCUUUGAGGCGGGUCUUUAUGCCAAGAAAAUGGGUGUUGAUGGAGAGCAGAUCGUGAAGAUGAGGCCUUCACUCACCACAAGACCAUCAAAUCCCUGAAACAUACACCCCCAAAUAACAGAUGCUAUACAAAAGCAGAGCAGAAAUGUUUGAGCACUGUUAUAAAAUUAAAAAAAAAAAGUAAAUAAAAUCUAAAGUUCACCUGUAACAAAAAAGUGAGCAACAGAGGAAGGACAUUACUGUUUCCAAGUUCUCUUGCUUCACAAUUGCACAGGUGAUAGCACAUAUUUUUCAUGCUACUUGUCCUUCUCUUUUGUUCUUAGGAUUUUGCACAGUAACUUACAAAUGUUCAUCAGUUAAUCCCCAUCCGACCAAACCAUUCUACAUUGUGUCUGACCAGACAUUCAGUUGACACAACCCUCCGAACCUCUCAAAACUUUUGCCGUGUCCAGCAGUACAACUGUUUUAUACAGAAAAAGGAAAUUAACCAGUAUUGUAUAACUGUCCCGGCAUUGAAUAGAUCUAUGGUGUGGCUUGAGCGGUUUGUUUAGUUGCCUGAGCCGCCAAUUCUUUUCUGCGAUGUUCGAUCACUGCAGGGUCGUUCCUUAAGACCACCAGCAAAAAAUAGCAAUAAGAGGAUAUGUGCAGUUCUGUAAUGUUUCUCACAUAGCAGGUUAGCUUCUAUUUAGCGUUUCCCACUUGGGAAUAUUAGCAGUGGCCUCAUUCACCAUCUUCACCAGUUGGACCUGCGAGAAGAUUAGAUGAGGAAAAAAUGUGAGAGUAUCACCUUCUCAUCCAGUCGUUGUAAAAAGUGGCAUAUAGACCUCAAUGCACAUAAGUUUAAUAUCUUAUACUCGAAAUGGAGACCAUGUCUACACAAAGUAGAGAAUGAUUCCAGCUUCCAAAGCGGUUUAAGAUCACAACCCAGAAAGACAACACAGAGAUUGACAUGUGAAGUCCCUACAACAUAAACCGUAUCGCCAAAUUUAAGAUCACAGGCGAUUUAGCAAUAAUGAAUUGGCUUCCACCAAAAUACUUCAACAGCCUAAAAAGCAUGAAGGAUCACAGCAAUCAUGGCAUCCAUUGCCUAUUUUCGGUUGAAAGCCUUUUCAGAAAGUCUUUAGCUUAUUAAACUGUGUAUGCAAUAGUAGCAGUUAAUUCGAAGGCCCUUCAAAGAGUGAAAAAUCACAGUAGUUGCUAUUUUUCACAUUUAUAGUUGAAGAACAUUUUCUAGUACCGAAACAGACAAUUAAAACUAUAGUUUCGUCCCCUUCUAAGCAAACUUCAGUUCUAGGAACAAUAUAGAACACAAUUUCUGGCACUUUAUGAAGACAGACAGAUUGCAGGUUCAACAAUCUUAGUAGAAAUUUAGCAGUGGCAAAUGGAAGCAGAAGAAACUAUAAAUGGUUUUUGAUUAGAAAGCAUGCAUCCAGGAAAAUGCUCAUGAUCAGGCCUAGAGGUCAUAUAGUUGAUCAUCAAUCAAUGAGAGUGUCUGCUAAGUGUGUUGCACAGUUAAAGAGUAAUUAUAAAACUCAAGAAGCACAGUUUAAGCAACAAUCUAUACUAGAUAACCUCUCGUUAAGUAGAAUUCAAUUGAGACUUACCACACUUUCAGGAACACCUGGCGGAGGCAAAGAAAGAUUUCUUGGAGGUGGACCACUAAGAUAGGAUCUCUUGUCGAAGCGCCAUUCUCCAAUCUUGCCAUAUGUCAGCUCACCCUAAAUAUCGACAACUUGGAAGUAAAAGUUGGAUCCAAGAAAAAAAAAUACAUAGGGCCAAUUAUUGAUAUUCGACUUCAACUUGUUACAGAGAUGCAACAUAGUGCAGUCGGAAGUCACACAUGAUAAGCAGCCUGUCCUGCACUGCCAGCGCUUACCCUCACUGACAUAUAUGUACGUACAUAUAUAACUAUGUAUACAUAAAUAUGUGUGUGUGUGUGUGUGUGUGUGUGUGUGUGUGUAGAUCGAUAGAGAGAGAGAGAGAGAGUGCCCUUCACCUUCAUAGAAUAGUCGCAGCCAUAAGUGUAAUGAAUUAUGAAGCUCUUUCCAACUUCUAGAUCCCAUGGUGGCUGAAAACAGGUUGAAUCAUAGUAGUCUCGUCAGUUUGACUGAUUGUUUGACAAAGACCAAAUGCAAGCUGUUUGAGUAUCAAAAUAACCUGCAGCAUGAAGUCCUUCCGAAGAAUAUGCUUCACCUUGUGGAGAGCAGAUGCUACAGCAUAACCAUACCUAGAAUAAAAAAACUAAAACUCUCAAGCAGCAGCCAGCACAAUAUCAACGGCCACACAGUACAUAGAGAGACAACAUUCUUCAAGUUUUUGUUACUCACAUUUCUAGCACCCAUCCAAAGGCUUUAUCAGUUUCGGGAUCUUCCUUCAUUCUCAAAGAGACAUUCAUCCAUGUAGGCGCAAUUUCCUCCAAAAUAGACUGGAUCAAAAUUUAAGUGAACAUGAAAUUUGAGGAAUAUGUAUUGUCCUGACUUCUGGGAUAGACCACAGAAUUCAUCAAUACAGCUUUUGGUUCACAUGACAAAGAAAAAAGAAGCAAGGAGGUAAUAUAUGGUCAGUGAUUCUCAGUCAACAAACUCUCUUUCUUAGAGCCAACCUUUUGAAUAAUUACUGGAGAAUUGCCAAUGGGAUCGAUAUCAGUUAAAGGACCCUUUUCUUUGGGGUAAAACUUCCUAAUGAUUUUUGCUUUUUCAGCCGGUUUGAUGUAGAAGAAUGGGUAUCCCGCUGGGUGGCUUCCCUUUGCCAAGUUAGGGAAAGGACUUACAAAUAUGUGGUCCGGCUCCGCCAUUAGAAUAUACCUGUAUAAUUUGAGGAAUGCAAAAAACCAUCAAAUUUCAUGACUGGAAUGAACUGAACUCUUCUACAAGAACUACUUAAGAACUCACUCUUCCUCAAUAGUUGCACUUUCUAGCCAUUGCACAAAAGCCCAUGGUCUGUUUAAGACAAUAUAACCCUGCAGGAAAUCACAAAAUGUCACAUAAAAAUCUAGAAAAGCUUCAAAUGUCGAGAUUCUGGGAAACAAUGAUCAAGAAAUAUCAAAGUGAUGCUCCAAAACGGCUGCUAUCAUCAUCCGUUCUCCAUGAAUUGUUCUGUGUCAUGCACACAUUAAUUCUUAAUAUCUAGUUUCUUCUUGCCAACCAAAGAGAGGAUUAUGCCUCACAUCUAGUUACAACUUAUAUCGACAAAGCAAAGCAGUCCAUUUGCCAUUAGCUUAUUACCCCGAGAUAGAAGUCUGGUGCACCCGGAUCAUCAAAGCUGUUGUCAAGCACAGGCAAUUGCAUGAACUAAUCCUUCUAAUAACCGAGUAAGAGCGGCAAAAUUCAAGCGCACGAGCAGCAACGACCCCACAUAUGCACUGGAAAAACCCCACGAAAACCACACACACACACACAACAAGACAAUGCAUCGAGAAAAUUCAGCAAGAAUUCCUUACUCGAUCCAGCCCAUCAGGAAGAGGGUCGACCACGAAAGUGUGCAUCUCCUCCAUCAAGUGAUCAGUUCUCCCCGAGUGCAGAAUCCGGGUGAAGUUGCCCAUGUCCGAUCCGGGCAUGUCCCUGACCUUCUUGUACCAAUAGUACAUAAUUCGGCACUGCCACUGACUAUAAGGAGCGUCGGUCGCCGUCACGGCAACAUGGUAUCGCAACCCGGUGACGGGAUCGGACAUUCCCAAUGCGUCGGUCACGGCGGCCCCCGGGUUGGGGCCCUUGUUGUGCAUUACCAUGUGCAGCAAAUUAUAAGCGGCGAAAAGGAAAACGAGCCCGAACACCACAAAGAGGGGCGAAACCCGCCUCACGUGUUUCCUCUCGAUCGUGGGCAUUCUCGACAGGAACGAAAUCUAACCGAAACCAUACGAGGAGUGUGCCGGGCAAAAAGUCAGCGGAGGAGGAGGAGGAAGACCAAAUUCGCGAGAGAGAGGGAGAAAGUCAAUGGGAGAUCAGAUCUCAGAUGCAAAAGCAAAUCACGUCACUUUACCUCAAGAGAAUUUCAGAGCUUCUUGCUUGAGACUGGAGAGAGAGAGAGAGAGAGAGGUGGGGUGGGGGCUCUGGAGGGAUUUUGUUUUUGUCUGCGCUUGCAGGUCGAGAGCAGCCAGAAGCAGAACGAUAUAUACAGCGACUAAAAGCUGACCGAAAAGGAGCAAACUUUGGCACUCUUUUUACUCGUCUUUUUGUCCAUCUAACCAAAUUCUUAGAAGGCUUGAUAACGAAACAGACCAGACCCCAGACUCUUCAUAAUGUAAAAUUUUCUGGGAUGUUAUCCGAAUCAAGUUCUUAAAAGUCUUCGUCUUGACACUUCCAAUUUGUAAAACUUUAAAGAGAGAUAUUGCCUGAUACCGGACAAGAAAAAAGGUGAAGGUACGGGUAUCGAUGUGUAGAACCUGCCUCGCUAGAGGACGGCCUGCCGCAGUCGAUAUUUUAGCGCACUCUUGUCGUGAGGCGGCCAAGUAACCGCCACUAAGGAUCACGCAUAGCAACUGCGCUGACCACAAGACCGCAACUUUCGCCCUCUUGACUCGUCUCCUCCUCCUUUUCUCCCUCUCUAAUCGUCGUUUUGCUCUUGUGCGUAUUUCCUUUCAUUACUUUCUCAGUAGUGGAAGCCGAGAAAGCGCCAUUUUUGUCGUUAAAUAUCUGCAAAUGAUGAAGAAAAGGGUCCAGCACAAGGGUCUGCUCUGUCUCGUCAUUCAACAAUUGAAGAAAAAAACUAAAGGAAGGGAACCUUUUCGAGUUCUGUUCUUUCUGAGAUUUUGGCGUACUUCCCUACAAUUAUGUCCGGCCUAUAAUCAAAUGAUGACACACAGGAUUCCAUUAGUCAUAAUUGAAACACGAUCAUCACUGACCUAUUAUAAAAUCUCAACAAGUAUCUCGAAGCAACAUUCUCCAAGGUCUCCUUUUUAUAUCGUGACUGGGCACUGACACUUAAAAACAAAAGACCCGCAAUCAUCUUAGGGAUCAUCUGUCCAUGUUCUGAUUCCUUGUCCAACUUCUGAUAUAAGUUGAUGUUGCCAGUUUUACUACUUUUUUAAUUAUGAUAACUUCAGUCAAACAAAUUUCCCAUGAAGUCGAGCUUUUGACAAAGGCGAUUUCCUGCAUAACCGAUGAAUUUGCAUCCGACAGCACGACGACUGUAAUCUGAAGUUUGCCACUAACUGGUCGCAUGGAGAAGAAUCUGCUCUUUGUGCUCGAAUCAACUAUCUAGUGCUAGAGUUUUGCAAGGCAAUCUGAUGAAGAGUAUAUAAAUGAAACUAAUUUCUCUAUCUUAUUUGGUUAUACAACCGUAGAAGAAUGCACUUUCUGUUAGAAUCUAAUGGAAAAAGUAUAACGCUAAAAGGAAAUCUCUAUCUUUAUCGUUAUCAUUCUCCAGCAGGUUUGAGACAUACUACACUCCGACACCAACCAUCUCUCAUUUCGUAGUUUUCAAAGCCCUUCGGACGAGAAUUAACCAGCAAAGCACGCGGUAGAGCACGAAGAAGCCGAACAUGAUCCCCACAUUGAUCCAUCUGGUGUCCUUAUCGAGUCCUCUGCUCUUUAACACAUCUUCACCAGUGAGCAAGCACCUGUCAUCCUGAUUGUGCCGAGAGAAGCACUUACUUCUCAUGCUCCAGUACUCAUUCGUGAGAAGCGCAUCCAGGGGGUACCGAUACAGUGAGACAUAGUACAUGAAGAGCCAAUACUUUGGGAUGCUCUCUUUAGGGAUGAAGUAUCCUGAGAACAGGAAAAAUGCUCCCAGGACAGUGCAGAUCAGUGAGUUCCCGGAAAUGAAGUCCGGCGACACGGCACUCAGGAAAAGCACCAGAGAGCUGGCCAUCAGGACAAUGACCCAGACGAUGAAUGUGAAGAAUGCAAAUGCGCCGAUUGAUGGAUUGAGCCCAACGAUCCAGUAAACAGGCACAGCGAAGAGAAAAGCCACAGCAAACAAGAAAGGAAGGAACACAAUGGUGUUGGCAACCAUGUAGGAGGAAAUCCUGUAAGCUCCUCUCGACGACUCCUUCAUCAGGACGCGCCGUUCUUGGAGGUAAAUCGGCAGGGCCUCAACUGUGGACGACAGCAGGAAGCUCAGGCUGAACGCAAAGAGUCCUAGCCUCUCCGUGACCCCUCCUUCGUUCUUUCUCAUGUUUACGUAUACGCUUCCUAGGCCGAAACCCCCGACGACGGCCUGCAUUGUCCUUGCCAAUAGGAGUUGCUUGGUUCGGUAUAUGAUCUUCCAAAACCUUGAGCAGAGGAAGACUAUCUCAGAGAAAUCGAGAAGAUUGUGAUUGUGCGCCUGUUUCUCGUUGCUUUUUUCUCGAACCCGUCUAGUUUCGACUCCUGGCCACAUCGGAUAGGAGUAUGGCAGGGUUUCCUUGUCUAAUAAGGCUGGUGAAUGGCCCUGGCAAUAAGUUGUUUCCAAUGGACUUAGAAUCUCCAUCGCAAACUCUAGCGUGUUCAAUUGGAGCGGCACCUGAAGUCCUAGCUUAGCAAUCCUCUCCUCGAGCAAUUCAAUGCUGCCACUAUGGACAACUGACCCGCGAUAGAGAAUCAGGUAGUUGGAGAUGAAUCCUAGAAUCCGAUAGCUGGGUUGGUGGAUGGAUAUGAUGAUGGUCCUCUGGUGGGCUUUUGCCAUCGAGGAUAGCAAUUCAAUCACCUGGAGCGCCGACUUGCUGUCUAGGCCCGAAGUCGGCUCAUCCAAGAGCAGGAUCGGUGGGUCGUGGAUCAUGUCAACUCCGAUCGAGACCCGUUUCCUCUCCCCGCCCGAUAUCCCCCUGUUCUCUUCGUCCCCGACAAAAGUGUCCGCCGCGUGGGUCAGCCCGAGCUCCUGCACCAAGCCCUCAACCCUCUCCUCUCUCUUCUUUUGGCUCAUUCCUCUGAGCCUGAACUUGGCACUAUACAUCAGAGUCUCCUUCACAGUGAGAAGAGGAAUCAGAUUAUCUUCCUGAGCCACAAAGCCACAUGUCCCUCUCAGCUGAGCGGGGCUAGUCACUUGGUCGUGAUUGAUGGAGAUGCACUUCGGGUCAAAUUGCUGAUCUUUCACCCGUCCCGCCAGGACCCGAAUGAGGGUGGACUUCCCCGUGCCGCUCGGGCCCACGACAGCCAGGAUCUCGCCGCUCCUGGCUGCAAAUGACACCGAAUUCAGUAUGCUAACGGGCUUGGGAUUGCGAAGCAGGCCGAAGGACCAGGGAGCGGCUAGGGAACCCUGCGGCUGGACACGAUAAGAGAGGUCCUUGACCGUCACGUCAUGGCGAGCCGGCUCGGACGGGCUCCGAGGAGGGGGCCGGCAGGGCGGCGAGUGCGAGAAGGAAGAGGAGGAAGGGCUGGUCGACUCGUCUGGCGAAUUCGAGGUGGAGAAGAGGACGACUUGGUCGUCCUCGAGGGCUCUCUGCCGGUGGAGGAAGCAGCUAGUAGUGGCCAUUGAACUUGGAGGAGGAGGAGGAGGAGGUUGGAUUGGCUGCCAUUUUAAGGAUUUAAAGCGGUGCUGAGAAUGGUUCAAGGAGGUUGGAUUGAAAGGCUUGAAGGACGUUGGACCAACCCAAGAUGGAGUGGGAGAGAAGGUUCUUCAUGGAUGGUGGUGAAGGGUGAAGAUAGGUGAUGGUGUUUGGCAGCAGUUGGGUAAGAUGGUUUUGACAUGAGCACCGUUCAAAUUUGAUAUAUUAGUAGAAUAAUCGCAGUGCAGAAACUAUACGGGUAAUACUCAUGGCUAUAUUCUUGUCAAUAUAUUUGGCCAACCAUAUCGAUUCAUCACAAUAGAAGCUAUGCAGCAGUGAAGUUUGAUUUUCUUUUUUGGGCCUCCAUGUCAAUUUCACAGAAUUUUUUUGUCUUAUCCAAGCAAUCUAAUUCGAUUGGAACUGAUUUACCGGAGUUGAAUAACAUUUCUGGUACAUUCACUUUAGUUUUUAUAGAAGGAAUUCCGAACAGAUUAUGCUAAAGUCACCUAAUCUGGCAAUAGCGUCAAAAUGUUUUUCCAAAGUACAGAGAAUGGCUCUGCAAUUUUCUUAAUCAACGUCGACGCAUGCGAAGAAAAAAAUGCAUGCUUCAAAUAUAAAGAGGAAUAGUUGAUCUCAUAAAAUCCCUCGUUAAUCACUCGGCGACGAACGACGGGAGUUGCUACCUCAGUUCUCUCCCUCCCUCCCUCUCCUCAUUUAAGAGGACAUAAUAGCUAUUCUCAACUUCUGUCAACCCACUUCGCAAGAGCCAUUAGAUCACUUGGGGACCUGCGUGGUCUAAUGGGCCUCACAAGAAGUGGGCUAAAACCUGGGGCUAGAGAAUGCCCAAAAAUAGCCGAUCUAGUGGUCGUUGGGGAUGAGUAUGGUCCGAGUAGGCUGUUUCCCUCCUAGAACCGAGAAUUACCCACUAAAAACUAGUUUCAAAAUAUUAUAAUCGAGAACUGCCUAUUUAUUUCAUGGAUCCAUCUAGAAGUAGGACCACUGGUUCAUUUCCCGAAUAAGUCUAUGGAACCGGUCCCACAAAGUUUCAUUCGCUUAGGGCAACGUUUCCCAAUAAGCCAAAAUAAAGCAAAAAGUAAAUAACUUCCCUAAUCUUAAUUGCAAAAUUAUUAAAAUGAUUAGGCUCAUGUUGAAAGUUGAGAGUAAAUAGACGUUAAGCUUGAGAGUUGAUGUCAUGACUAAAAGAAUCGUUCAGAACCGCUCUUCAUAUUCCUGAUAAUGCGGUGGUUGCUGAUUUAUUUUCGCCGUUAGGCCAGUCCUUUAAGGAGUUCUUACUGAGAUGGGGUAUAUCCCUCCCGAACUUGUCUUUAAGUAAUGACAGAUUUAUAUGGUGCGGUCAUCCAUCGGGCAUCUUCUCGGUUGGAUAUGCUUGGAAUGUUAUUAGGAGUAAGAAAACUCCGGUUAACUGGGCUCCUCUGAUUUGGGACAAUGCCAUUGUUCCUCGGUACCAGUUCAUCCUCUGGCUUAUCGUGAAGAAUCGACUUCCCACGCAGAGUAUGCUUCUAUCCUAUGGGCGCAUUAACUUCAGUGUAUGUGCAUUAUGCAGCGAAGUCCCUGAUUCUAGAGACCAUCUCUUCUUCGGAUGUCGCAUCUCGACUUCUCUGGCCUUCUUUUGGGCCGCCAGAUGCAACCUUCCUUGGAGAAAUCAAUGCUGGAGUGAGGUACUCUCUUGGACUCGAAAGUUCCUAACUGGAAAUGAUUUCUAUCAUAGAAUUGUCCGGCUCUCCUUCGGGGCCCUUUGUCAUCUCAUUUGGAAGAAGAGGAAUGCAAUCAUCUUCAGAGGUGAAUCCCUUGUCGUUCCGGCGCUCAAAAACCACCUAAUUAAGGUGGUUAAGGACAAGGUUAGUACCUUCAAGAAUGUCGAUCCUGCUCCGAGGAACAAGCGGCUUCAGAGAGGAUGGGGCUUUGAUCCGGCGGUCUUCUCCUCGGUCUCCUGUUGAUCCUUCUUGUUUUUCCGUAUCUGGUUGUAAUUCCGUUCUUUGCCUUUAGGUAGAGUGCAGGAGGUUCGGAGGUUGUCUCUGUUUGUCUUCUUUCUUCCUUAGGAGUUUCGUCGCUUAUCGUGUAGCCUUGUGCUCUUUUACAUCGGAUCCCCCUCACUUUGCCGCCACUGGUCAGAGUGUGGGUUAUGGUUCUGAUCUUUUGUAAGCUUCCCCUCUUUUUAUUUUAAUUACCUUUACCAAAAAAAAAAAAAAAAAAGAGAUAACUCAAACAAAAUAAGAAUAAUACAAGACAAGCAAUUAGUCAAUGGAUCGGAAAUUUUUCCUUCAAUUUAUAUAUAUAUAUAAUCGGCCCAGUCCAAAUGGACGGUUCCCAUUUGAAAUCAGAAAACGAACUAAUCCUCUUGUGAACUGCCGGUUCUAGUCUAAUCCAAUUUGAUUUUGAAUGAUUUGAGUGAUUUCUGAUUCUUUGACAUACCCCUAGCGGCUGUGCCUAGAUCAGUCCCUCCAGGUCUUGUAAUUUUUUACUUUCUCCAAUUUCUCUAUGCAAUGUCGAUAAUUAGCCUAGGCGUUGACGUGGACGUCGGCGAUCGCGUCCCAAUAUACUAUGGAAGGACUAGCUUUUGGAUAAACAGUGGAAAUUAAAAAAAUAAAUAAUGUGUGUGUGUGUGUGUGUGUGUGUUUAUGAAUUUGCAGUGUCCUUAUUUAGUGUUUGUCGUCGAGGGGAGGGACGGACCAAUUUUCACUGAACCCUAAAAAUAUUGUGGGCCCAAUCCUGCAAAACCAAGUCCAAGAAAAGAUUUGUGGACUCAAAAGAUCAGAGCCCCACUUCAAAAAAAAAUCUCUGACCAUAUUAAAUAAAUAAAAAAAUACAAAUUUCACAUUUACUCCCACCAGUCCCACGUGUUCACCAGCCAUCGUAGGACAGGUGGGCCGACAGGUCUCGGGCCGCAGAUUUCGCCACGUGUCCGCGAGAUUUUUCUCGGAAUCGGAUUGCGCCCGAUUUCUUGGGGAUUUGGGGAAAAAAAAAUUACUCGAUUUCUUCGAGGAUUACUUAUCUAAGAUUCAAUUUCUUGGAACAAGGAAUCGAGGCAUUAUCCACAUGGACUAUUUUAAAGCACCUUAACGGCAAAAUAAUUUUAAAAAAGGAGCUACCCAAUUUAAUAGGAUGAUUAAUGACGUCAUUGUACUCAUGCUGCAUCUCAAGGAAAGGGCAAUUAUCUAGACACAAAAUAAGGACAUUAUCAGUGCAAUUUAGAUCGUGAGCAAUUAAGCUCCACUGGUUUUUUGAUAAACAUGAUCGAUUCAUAUUUUUUUGCAAAGAUAUAUGUUUGUGAUUGUUGUCAAAUCUGAUUAAAGGGAUUAGGUAUGCGUUGAAUAUGUGUAAUUGCUAUAGCUAUAUCGUCCAUUUAUGCCAAGCACAGAGACAAUCCAUGUGCAGAUUUUCUCAAAAGCGAUGCCAUGAUACGUUGCAUUUGUCACUAAAAAUCAAAUAUUGAGAACCGAAUUAAAAGAAAAAGUGAAAAAAGAAAAUCAUCGAAGGUAAUACGUGGGAUGAAAAAUAUAACGCGACAUGUUACUCGCUCAAUGCGCGCGUGUCGGCCACUUCCCUCACGCGCUCCUCUGCUGGUUAAAAGCCAUCGCUCUCGCCUCAUCCUCCUCCUCCUCUCCUCCUCCUCCUCCUCCUCUUUCACUUCUCUCUGCGCAGUAAAUGACCGAUGUCGCGCCACCGACGGCAAGCCUCGCUGGUGCUCCCGCCCGAGAUAAUCGCCGGAGAUGACCCGGCCGCGCUCGCCGACCUCGGCCAGCCCGGCGAACGCGCCGCCGCUCACGCCCCCGCCGCUGCCGCGAACGCCAAGCCCUUCGACUCUCGGAAAGCGGAGCAGAGCGCAGCCUCCGCCGCAGCCUCCGCCGCCGCCGAUUCUCGGCAAGCUUCGCUGAAGAAGCCGCCGGUCGCCGGGAAAGACGCCUGAGAAAGCGGAGGGGGAGCGGGAGCGCCGGAGCUCCGGCGAGUCGGCGGCCGAUCGUCUCCAUCUGCUGUAGGGAUUUAAGGCAUGAGCGAUGUUGUUGUAGCUGUAGUUGUAGCUGUUCACUUGCGUCUGUGUUCGAAUAAAAAAGUGGAAUGUUAUGGUGCUAUUUUCCCUCUUUUCUUCCCCCGCUCUUUUUAGUUUAAAUGCAGGAUUUCCUAAACUUGUUUUUUAACUAGGGUUUUAUUAGGAUCGAACGGUCACCGUUUGUUCUUUGUGCUCGAAUCGAACGGUCACCGUUGUUCCUCUCGUCGUUCGUGGAAAUUAAGGCUGGCUCUGUUAUGGGGGGCGCCGGUUAUAAUGACCGUUAUUAUAGUUUUUGGAUGCGCCGGAGAAAUCCUAGCGUCGUACAUAAGGUAGUUAAUGACUGAUUAUCUUAGAAUCUCAUGGCUUUUGAGAUUCAUAUGUGUUUUGUUUCUCUGUC